ACCAGAGUCCCCACCCAAAACAGCACAAGGGGAACCGUCGCAAUUAAACUCUCUCAUGCCGUUAAACAACGACACACACGCAAACAAUUUGGGUACGAAUUUGGUUGUAUUAUAAGAAAGGAAAAGAAAAGAAAUUCGCAGGCACCUUAGCAAGUUCACAGAAAAUAUAAUAUGCCCCACAAAAAAAGAACCACGUUGGCGCGCUUUGUCAGAGCUCUGUUGAAGAAGGCAAAUUGCAGCUUUCUCACCCAGUUCAGUCCUGGCUUUGGAAAUUGUUCAAGGGCCGCCAUUUCCUAAGGUAAUUGGAAUCCAGAGGCAUAGCACCGUCGAUACAAAGUCCUCCAGAAUUUGGGAUAAUCCGUUCGGUAGGACAAAGCUACAAAUCCCGCAAUUAUUUCAAAUACUUAUAUUGUCUUUAAACUGGGCUAUGGACCAGUACACUACGGAGUCCCUCCCAGGAGUAUCGAGAAGGCUCCACUGACCUCAUGCUGAGGGCUGCCCUUGUGAUGGGAGACAAUGAAGUUUUUCGCUUGCCUUACAGGAGGAAGAUGAAUAAUACAGGACCAAUCAACAUAUCUUUUGCAGCAACAUGACCAAUGGGAUUAACUUGCCUGCCGGGUGAAUAGUAUAUGUGCUUGAGACUGACACAGUUAUGGCUACACCGCUACUGCUCAGUCAAGGGAACCCUGAAAACCUAUUUGCCAAAUUGACAGUCCUGUACAGUAUAUUGAUGUCCAUUGCCCCUGAAGGCCUACAGGAGCCACACUAUAACAGCAAGGGCAGCAACAGUUUGAUUUGGCUACGAAACCCCACAUUCAAGAGAACAACUGCUAACAGGAGAAUACCUACUAGAGAAAAAUAAAUUGUCAUCAGCAAAG